CUGUGAACUGGCGUUUUGGUGACCAAGUGUGAAGUGACUUCCUCUCCCUGAGGCCCUAUAAGAGACCGCCCCUCAUCCCUCAAUACAUCAGAAAACCUAAAGCGACUGCAACAGUCAACACCGAGCAUCACCACCUUUAAGUGUCGGUCUAGUUAAGAGCGUCCAGCAAAUCUUUGGAAAGAGGAAGUCUGUUUCGGACUCAGAGUAGUAGAUCAAACGGUGAAGAUGCAUGUGUCUAUCUUUGUGCGCCACACGCUUAGUUUUUUUACUUUGUCCAUGGUGAUCCUGUCUUUCACAGACCAAGGUCACUGUUAUGGGUUUGAUGUUAGCUGUUGCGAAAAGUAUGACAAUGAAAAAGUAACUGGACAGGUCAUUGCCUGCUAUGAACAAACGAAGGGAAGGAGAUGCAGGAUUCGUGCAAUUCAGUAAGAACACACAAACACACAUGCACACACACGAUCAUACACGCUCACACACAAACACACAAAACAUUUAUCUUGCUCUCUCUCUCUAUCUCUGACUUUUCAGACUGGAGUUAGAAGAAGGCAUUACUAAAUGCAUCCGUCCCAGAGCACACUGGCUCCAAAAGAAGCUGGAGAAAGACAAUAUAAAGUGUGUUCCACUACUGCGUGCUCGUUAAAGGAAUCUCUUCUAGUCUUUACAAAGGAAAGGACAAGCGACCUGCACAGAACACUUUUAUUUAUCUGUUUAUCUUUAAGUUGGGCAUUAUGUUCAUUGUUAUACCAAUUGUUUAAGCAGUAUUAAGCUGGUGAUCAUGCAAACUAAAAUAAUGUAAUUUAAUUUAUUAUCUUAAUUUAUUGACAUAUUUAAAGGACUGCCUGUCAUUGUCAUUAUUCUUUAAUAUUAUUAUUUAUUGUGCUAUGUUUGUUGUAUUACUGUAAUAAAUUAAAUAUUUGUUAAGAUA